AUUGAACGCUGGCGGCAGGCCUAACACAUGCAAGUCGAACGGUAACAGGAAGAAUCUUGCUUCUUUGCUGACGAGUGGCGGACGGGUGAGUAAUGUCUGGGAAACUGCCUGAUGGAGGGGGAUAACUACUGGAAACGGUAGCUAAUACCGCAUAACGUCGCAAGACCAAAGAGGGGGACCUUCGGGCCUCUUGCCAUCUGAUGUGCCCAGAUGGGAUUAGCUAGUAGGUGGGGUAACGGCCCACCUAGGCGACGAUCCCUAGCUGGUCUGAGAGGAUGACCAGCCACACUGGAACUGAGACACGGUCCAGACUCCUACGGGAGGCAGCAGUGGGGAAUAUUGCACAAUGGGCGCAAGCCUGAUGCAGCCAUGCCGCGUGUAUGAAGAAGGCCUUCGGGUUGUAAAGUACUUUCAGCGGGGAGGAAGGGAGUAAAGUUAAUACCUUUGCUCAUUGACGUUACCCGCAGAAGAAGCACCGGCUAACUCCGUG
rnacentral:rRNA from 1 species